AUUGAACGCUGGCGGCGUGCUUAACACAUGCAAGUCGGACGAGUGGCGAACGGGUGAGUAACGCAUCUGAACGUACCUAGUAAUGGGGGAUAACUGUCCGAAAGGACAGCUAAUACCGCAUAAUACUCGAGCGGCCGAUGUUUGAUUAGCUGGUUGGCGGGGUAAAGGCCCACCAAGGCGACGAUCAGUAGCGGGUCUGAGAGGAUGAUCCGCAACACUGGGACUGAGACACGGCCCAGACUCCUACGGGAGGCAGCAGUGGGGAAUUUUGGACAAUGGGCGCAAGCCUGAUCCAGCCAUGCCGCGUGUCUGAAGAAGGCCUUCGGGUUGUAAAGGACUUUUGUCAGGGAAGCGGUACCUGAAGAAUAAGCACCGGCUAACUACGUGCCAGCAGCCGCGGUAAUAC
rnacentral:rRNA from 1 species